GACCAACCUGUUUUCUGGAAAAUCCAACAGAGAAACGAGGAAAAAGAAGAACAAAAAAACACUCAUGUUCUCUCUAUAGAGAAGAUAUCACCACUUUCUAUCGGUUUGCAUCGUUUUAAGUUUGAUGUUUGGUUGAUAGGCAGUACAGCGAUUUUAGCACGACAAUUGGUUUGGCUUCCUACAGCAAUGAGAGUCGUGGGUGAAAUGGUGAAAUUCAACCCCGAAAAAAUUAGACCCAACAUGAGCAACACAACGAUUUAAAAUAAAGAUAACUUUAUAUAGUUUCCCAUGAAAGAGAAACGGUCCAAAUUUGACCAGAUUUUAUAAUAGAGUCACGAUUUGUUAAUCAAUAUGCUCCUGUUAAGCCAUAUUCACUCUCACGUUUGACUACCCCUAUUUCAUCUAUUUUGUAGUGUUUUGCAGCUAGGUAUUAGAAAGUAUAAUGGAGAAUUUCGUAGGACUUGGAUGAUGUGAUAUAGCUAUUUAUAGAUAUCUGAAACCAAAAACGAUGCUUUCUUUGUUUUUAGUAAAAAAUCGAGUUUUUUUCUUGUUUCAAUCUUAUAUCACAAUUUAGUUUUUGAUUUUCAUAUGAUCACAAUUUAGUUUUUGAUUAUUUGAGUGCUAUUUUCCAUAUGGUUUAAAGCAACUCAUGGCUAAAGAAUCUCUCCUCUAUAGACUAAAAAAUAGUACUCAAAUAAUUUGUGAUCAGGUAUUGGGAAUCUUAAGUCAUAAAGUAGGCUAAAAAAAGUUUUCAUUCAUGAUAGGAUGCACAUGACGAAAUGCACUAAAGGAGAGUAUUUUGAACAAGGACAUUAGUCGAUAUGGAAACAUUGAGCUGAGCCCUGCUGCUGGAGUUCUAAAUUAUAGGCAAUUAUGUUGCAGUUGAUGUUUGCUUCAAAAUUUAAAUCCUAAAGGAAACUUGUAAUCAAAUGAAAAAUCUGAACAAGGACUAUUUAAAGGCACGAAAGCAUACAUAAGUGAAGAUGGACGCCUUCUUCUCUUUCGUCCAGAAUAGAAUGCAAUUCGCAUGAAAAUGGGGGCUAAAACAAUGUGCAUUCCAUCACCCUCUAUUGAUCAAUUUGUAGAUGUUGUGAAGCACACUGCCAUAGCCAAUAAGCGUUGGGUUCCUCCUGCAAGGAAAGGGUCUCUGUAUCUGAGACAUCUGCUCAUGGAAAGUGGUCAAUUAUUGGGUUUGGGUCCAGCGCUUGAAUACGUAUUCCUCAUCCAUGUUUCCCCUGUUGGAAACUAUUUCAAGUUUUAUAGGAGCUAAAAACUUUAGCAGUGGGGCAACAUGGGAGGCACGUUAACUCGAUUGAAAAAGUGAACGGAGUUUCAGCCUCUUAUUAAAUUCAAACGUGAUUAUGAGACUAAUACUGUUUUCAACAUUCUUGAUCGACUGAUGUACAAUGGUGUAUAUUUGCUCAAGAAGAUACCAACAGAUUGUUAAGUUGCUGGAGAGUUCAACUAUCUGAAAAAGAGCUCCUGAAUUUUAAACCUUCUGUAAAUACUGAAUCUAAUAAUUUGGAGUGGCUUUCACAACUUUAUGGUGAACAAAAGAAAAGGCAGAUAAUAACAAGUGAUAAAGGUUGUGGGAAAGAAGGCUCCUUAGGAUCUGAUAUUCUGAACAGCUAUGAACUGUAUAAUCUUGUUUGCCAACAAGUCAGAAACUGGCUUGCCCACUGCUCCAUGCAAGCUGCAACUUCUCAAAGAUGCGCUGGGUGGGAAUGAGAGAUCCAAAUUUUACAGCAAGUCUAUGCAAAAUGGGAUUGGGAAAGGAGAGGAAUCCCAAAUUUACUUUUGUGGUCAGUAUUAUAAGAUUAAUGUUUAUUUUUAAUUUUCUCUAUAAAUUAUAUUGUGCAUGAUGGUGUGAAUCCUUUUUAUACAAGCAUGUGGAGGCUAAGAUGGCGUUGUAAUGACAGGUUUCUUGUUUUGGAUAAACGGUACGCGUGAUGUUCAUUUAUAGGUUGUGAAAUUUCAUUGUUUUCCGUUCUGCUAUGAAAUUUGUAAUAUCUGAGUAUUGAAUACAUGAAAAGGUUCGCAAUUUCCACAAGACUUUCUGUGGCUGUACAUGUAGGCUGCUACUUUGGAGGAAUUGACUCAGAAUUUUACGAUGUUUU